CUCAUAUAUGUGAGAUGGUGCUAGGUUUUCCUCUCAUUUGUUUUCUGUGUUUUUUCUCUGAAAAAACUUUUGAUUUUUCGUCUGUAAUCUUUGGUUUUUAGAUCUUCUUGGUGAAGUCUAAUGUAGAUUACUUUGUGAAAAGGGUGAUUCUGUUCUUGAGUGAGCAAAUAACCUUUUGUUACUUGAUGUAAUCUGUUGAGUAUAUUCUUGAAAGAAAAACUGAGUCUGAGGGCUAGAUCCUUUGGAUCUUUGAAUUUUGAUUCUUGUCCUUAUAAUUUUUUGCUGGUUUUUAGUGGAUUAGAGCGAAAACCGCUUUAGUGAAUGCUUAGUGUGGUGAUACAUCCGGGCCUUAGGGUAAAAAGCUCUUGGUGUUCUUUAAUUUUCUGUCAUUAAUUUGGUUUUUUCUAAGACUGUUAAUACCAAUUACCAACAAAACUAUGAGGCAGCAAAUGCUCAGUAAUUGUGCAGUUAAGUAUUAAGAAAGAACGAAGACGAGAACAAGCCGCUACACAGUUUGUUCUUGCUGCCAAUUUUGCUGCUUUAAUAAAAGGAUCUUCAAGUAUUAGAGUUUGAAGAUGGGAAUAAUAUCUUCAACAAAACAAAGUAUGCAAUAAUAACUUCGUCGAAAGUUUUGGAGGAGACUUGACAAUAUGAUCAAUGAAACUCUAGAUCAUUCCGGGUUUCAAGAGAUAAUUGGUGGUCAGCUCGCCACAGAAACAUUGAAGGUCUUGCUGAGAUGACCAGGUUGGCACAGAAUGAGUUCUAACAGCUAGAAAAUGGUUAUGAAGAUGCAUCAGAAAAUUGGAAUAAUGUUGAAUUAGGGUGUCCCCGGGGGCAUAACCCAAUAGUGCAAAGAACAGGAGUGAGGUAGUCUCAGUCUUGCUGGCAAUUGUAGUGUGAGGGUUCGAUUAUUGAGAUAUGAAAUUGUACUCUCUUUGUGAGCACCAAUGUACGAGCAAGUUAUUGUUCCCUGGCCUGCUGGGGUAUAUCCCACGAUUUACCUCCCUCACGAUACUCCAGGGGCGGGGCGGUGGGGGCCUUCAAAGUUGGAGUUCAACCUUUUUUUUCUUUUUUUUUAAAUGUUGAAUUAUGGCAGUACAUCAGCUGUAUUGAAAAUUUUCGCUGUGAAAAAGUUUAUCUAAUAUGUACUCGAGUUUGUCAGAA